GUGCCAGCCGCCGCGGUAAUACCGGCAGCCCAAGUGAUGGCCGAUCUUAUUGGGCCUAAAGCGUCCGUAGCUGGCUGCGCAAGUCCGUCGGGAAAUCCACUCGCCCAACGAGUGGGCGUCCGACGGAAACUGCACAGCUUGGGACCGGAAGACUCGAGAGGUACGUCCGGGGUAGGAGUGAAAUCCCAUAAUCCCGCACGGACCACCGAUGGCGAAAGCACUUCGAGAAAACGGAUCCGACAGUGAGGGACGAAAGCCAAGGUCUCCAACCGGAUUAGAAACCCCAGUAGUCC
rnacentral:rRNA from 1 species